rnacentral:rRNA from 1 species
UGGGGAAUAUUGCACAAUGGGCGCAAGCCUGAUGCAGCCAUGCCGCGUGUGUGAAGAAGGCCUUCGGGUUGUAAAGCACUUUCAGUCAGGAGGAAAGGUUAGUCGUUAAUACCGGCUAGCUGUGACGUUACUGACAGAAGAAGCACCGGCUAACUCCGUGCCAGCAGCCGCGGUAAUACGGAGGGUGCGAGCGUUAAUCGGAAUUACUGGGCGUAAAGCGUACGCAGGCGGUUUGUUAAGCGAGAUGUGAAAGCCCCGGGCUCAACCUGGGAACAGCAUUUCGAACUGGCAAGCUAGAGUGUGAUAGAGGGUGGUAGAAUUUCAGGUGUAGCGGUGAAAUGCGUAGAGAUCUGAAGGAAUACCGAUGGCGAAGGCAGCCACCUGGGUCAACACUGACGCUCAUGUACGAAAGCGUGGGGAGCAAACAGGAUUAGAUACCCCCGUAGUCC